UGGGGUUUCUCCAUGUUGGUCUGCCUGAUCUCAAACACCCAACCCCAGGUGAGUAGCCUGCCUCAGUCUCCCAAAGUGCUGGGAUUACAGGUGUGAGCUAC